rnacentral:rRNA from 1 species
GAUGAACGCUGGCGGCGUGCUUAACACAUGCAAGUCGAACGAAGCACUUUAUUUGAUUUCCUUCGGGACUGAUUAUUUUGUGACUGAGUGGCGGACGGGUGAGUAACGCGUGGGUAACCUGCCUUGUACAGGGGGAUAACAGUUGGAAACGGCUGCUAAUACCGCAUAAGCGCACGGCAUCGCAUGAUGCAGUGUGAAAAACUCCGGUGGUAUAAGAUGGACCCGCGUUGGAUUAGCUAGUUGGUGGGGUAACGGCCCACCAAGGCGACGAUCCGUAGCCGACCUGAGAGGGUGACCGGCCACAUUGGGACUGAGACACGGCCCAAACUCCUACGGGAGGCAGCAGUGGGGAAUAUUGCACAAUGGGCGAAAGCCUGAUGCAGCGACGCCGCGUGAGCGAAGAAGUAUUUCGGUAUGUAAAGCUCUAUCAGCAGGGAAGAUAAUGACGG